GGAGUUGGGGGCCGGAACCGCCAUCUUCCAGUAAUUUGCCAAAAUGACGAACACAAAGGGAAAGAGGAGAGGCACCCAAUAUAUGUUCUCUAAGCCUUUUAGAAAACAUGGAGUUGUUCCUUUGGCCACGUAUAUGCGAAUCUAUAAGAAAGGUGAUAUCGUAGACAUCAAGGGAAUGGGUACCGUUCAAAAAGGAAUGCCCCACAAGUGUUACCAUGGCAAAACUGGGAGAGUCUACAACAUUACCCAGCAUGCUGUUGGCAUUGUUGUAAACAAACAAGUUAAGGGCAAGAUUCUUGCCAAGAGAAUUAAUGUACGUAUUGAGCACAUUAAGCACUCUAAGAGCCGAGAUAGCUUCCCGAAACGCGUGAAGGAAAAUGAUCAGAAAAAGAAAGAAGCCAAAGAGAAAGGUACCUGGGUUCAACUGAAGCGCCAGCCUGCUCCACCCAGAGAAGCACACUUUGUGAGAACCAAUGGGAAGGAGCCUGAGCUGCUGGAACCUAUUCCCUAUGAAUUCAUGGCAUAAUAGGUGUUAAAAAAAAAAAAAAAGACUUCUGGGCUGAAAAAACAA